rnacentral:rRNA from 1 species
UCCCUACGGGACGCAGCAGUGGGGAAUAUUGGGCAAUGGGCGCAAGCCUGACCCAGCAACGCCGCGUGAAGGAAGAAGGCUUUCGGGUUGUAAACUUCUUUUCUCAGGGACGAAGCAAGUGACGGUACCUGAGGAAUAAGCCACGGCUAACUACGUGCCAGCAGCCGCGGUAAUACGUAGGGAGCGAGCGUUAUCCGGAAUUAUUGGGUGUAAAGGGUGCGUAGACGGGAAAGCAAGUUAGUUGUGAAAUCCCUCGGCUUAACUGAGGAACUGCAACUAAAACUACUUUUCUUGAGUGCAGGAGG